rnacentral:tRNA from 1 species
GGAGGCGUGGCCGAGUGGCUUAAGGCAGCGGCUUGCUAAGCCGUCGUAGGGGAAACUCUACCACAGGUUCAAAUCCUGUCGCCUCCG